UUCACCAACGUGAUUUAAUCUAAUCGGUCGAUUAACUGUCAGAGUUGCCAACUGCUGAACAUAAUAAAACUGAUCGUAACCUAUUUUCUUUCUGUGAAGCAAGGUCCGUGGAUGGCGACGUUCGUUUUUAAAGUCUUGUUAUUGGCAAUUCUGGUGACCAAUUUAAUCGACCGAUUAGAUUAAAUCACGUUGGUGAAACCGGGCCAUAGACAUAUAUUUAAGUUUCGCUUAAAGCUAAAAUAACAUUGGUGUAACCGGGCCUUAAGGCAAGAUGAAUCUAAGAUUAAAGAACUAACAUCACAAUUGACUGUUAUGGAAGAAAAGCAAUAUACAGGAACUCAAAAUUUGGAACAUAAAAAUAAUGAGUUGUGGAAAUAUAAUACCUAUUUAAUAAUAAGUAAUAAUUAGAAAACUAGAAAUAGAAAAAAAAGAGCUGUUACAAGAGAUUAAACAGAGGAAAAACAAAACAAUUUAAAAUCUUUUAAACCAAACUUACAAGAUCAAAAAGUGUUGGAACUAGGAAAGUAUUAUUAUUCCAUAUAUAUUGACAUACUUUUACUUUUAUAUCAUGAUUUCUUUUGUUUUAUAAGAAAAAAUUAAAAUUAUACGAAGAUUUAACAAAGAUUCAGUGGGAUUAUGAAGCAAAACAUAGUGUAAGAGGCUGAUCCUUUUUCAAUAUUUAUGACUAACUUAUUAAAUGCGAUUGAUAUAUAUAUGCAUGUAUGUACAUAUAUACAUUAUGUGCAAUACACAUUUCACAAUAUAUUUAAUACUGCAACCUUUUUUUUAAGUUUAAAAUAUAAACAAUGCUUGAGCAUAUUUGUAGAUGACAAAUAAUAAUCCUUAAUUCUUGAAAAUAGAUGUCUUAAAUAAAUAUGAUUAUAUUCAUUAUUGUGUCAAUAUGAUUAUAUUGCAUCAUUUUUGUUGAAAAUCAAGAAACUAAUGACAUUAGCAGACUCUCUGUAGCAUGAAAUAUAUUUGUCUACUAGUAAAGCCAGAGAUGAAAUUUUUUAAACAUUUUACAUAUGAUACUAAUAUGAUAGUUAUAAUGUCUUACACUUGUAAUCUGUGUAUGUUUUAUGAAUGAAGUACUUUUUUGUCUCGA